rnacentral:lncRNA from 1 species
UCCAACUGUUAAAAAACUUUUACCCUUUACCUGGCAUGUCAGGCUUUUGGAUUCCUUUCCCCUGAGCUCAAUUUUAAGCCCAGCAGUUUAAGGUUGGGGAAGUUAACUUUUCCAAUUUGGGGGAUACAUCUAAUGGGAUUGUCCUGUGGUACAGGAACACAAAUACCCAUCGGUGAAGAGAGGACAGAGGAGGAAAAAGGAGAAAGAAGGUUUUUUUGUUUGUUUGUUUUAUUUUCAAAGGAAUCCCAGUGAUUCAAGAUGCAUUGGAGAGAAAUACAGACUGAAGAUAAUUGGUUACCCAUCUAGAAAGAGAUAUAUGAAGUCUGGGGGUAAGACCUGCAGUAAUUUCCCUUAAGAUACUACAGAAUUUCCAAGGACUUGAGGAAUAAUUGCACUCUUGAAAGAGCCUAUGAAAAAAGAAGAGACUUGGGAAAUUUAACAGAAGUUCACUUUCCACCACUGCGCAAACUAAGGAAAAACUUAAAGCAGUAAAUAGCUGCGGUUGGCAAAGCUGUUUUGGCUCAGGAGCAGCUAUCAGGCCUUGAUAAGGUCCACAAGUCUGCUGUUCUAAA